CCAUCGGUUGCAAAGGUGAGGCCAGAUAACAAGAGGUUAAUUAUGUUCUCAUCUCCAAUAUGUUUAGUGGUUACAUCAUGCUACUGUUCACUUUUUUCUCACCUCAUUAUACUGCACUACUAUGCACUGAAGUUGUUUGCUAAUUUACACAUUGAAUUGUUUUGGUUGAUAUGCUAUUUAUGUGUUUCCUUCCCCAAAUCCUUUUUUCUAGUUGUAAAGGUUGUUGUUGCUAUAGCCUCAUGGAAAAAGAUUGUUUUUGGGUAAGCCAACCCAAUAUUUCUGGUCGUUGAUGCAUUUUGAUAAGUUUGAUGGUCCAGUCCCCAGUGAGGAAGAAAUCUUAGUCGACGACGCUGGCAGUGGCACUGGCUCCAGUGCCCCUGCUCUUGCAGCACUCGAGCAUAUUUUUAUCCGCAGCUAGAAAGGGGAGGAUGAAGGAAUUUUGCAGCUAUUAUGCCAUACACCAUUAGAAGAUAAAGACAGUAAGCUGGUUGCAGCAUCCAAAACACAUUCAGUUAUCCGAAGUAAAGCAUAUUCAUAUUCAGCAAGUAAACUAGCAAGCUCUCUUCUCUUUCUUACAUAUUUUAUAUUUACAAUCACAUGGAGGUGCUCUUAAGUGUAUGGAUCAUUAUCGCUGGGUUUCCCUGCCUUUCUUCCUGGUUCCGUAUUGAGAUUUGUAUGCAACUAUUUCAUCUUCCAUUAUGAACAUUAUCUUAUUUCAGAUUCAGCCAACAUGCAUGUAAAUACUAUGGCCAAUUGCAUUGUCUUCUAGAAUUAAUUAUGCACCAUGUCACACAAGCAUAUGACAGAUUUUUAGUCAUAGACCAUUUUGAUAAGCAUUAUGAUUUUAAAUUUACAAGUGUGAGUGACCUCAUCCGAACAUAUUGCCAUCCAUUCCACAGAUUUGCACUCGCUUUGUUGUUUGGCACAACAGAAUUGUCAGUUUCCAAAAUGCAUAUACUUCUAUUUAUACUGACGUCUUGUAUGCUCACCUUAGAUGCCACCACACAAUUACAUCUUAUAAUUAUGAUUUCUUUUAGAAUUAAAUGGAACUACAUACUGAUUUCAACUUCUAAGUGACAUGUUUAUAUGCCUAUUUGACAAAUUCCCCUUCAAUCGAAAUGAAUAUAGGAAAUGGAGAGUUUACAGAGAGUCCGUAGGAGAAAUCUACAUGCCGUCAUUAGGAAUGAGGGAACAACCUAUGGUAUGGAAUAUUGAAGAGUGUAAAUUCUAGCUAUAUUUUCUUCUUCAUACACAUAUCUUUUUUGGGGGGUUCAUGCACAUCUUUUUCUUGGGAUCUUUAUGUUGUGCACUGAAGUCAUGUUGUGAAGUAUCACUUUGGAAUUAGCUUAUCCAAUUACUCGAUAUUUUUCACGAUGGGGAUUCAGACUGUUACUACCUCUGUCCCAAAAUAAGUGUCUCCACUUUAGUACAACUUGUAUAAAGUUAGUAGUAAGUUAGUACAAAGUUGAGACACUUAUUUUAGGACGGGGGAGUACUUAGUAUAUUUAAUGUUCUUCUUUUCCAACCUAUCGGAGAUUGAAUGGAUGAAACACUAUUAUUGGCUUUAUGCAGCAAUGUGUCCAUGAUAGUUUUCACUUUUUAAAAGAUUCUACUUCCCCGUCUACUUAUAUCUCUUAUGUUAUCCUCUUGUGUUUUAUCUCUAAUUUAUCUUCCUGGUUACACCAGCUCCUUGUGUCUCUGCUCCCCCCUUGUGUGUUUAUGAUGGCAGCUCCGCAUCAUGGUGCGAGGCACCGGUGGCUGCAGUAGGUGUAGAUGACGAGGAAGAGCCAGCUUCGUGGCCUUGCUGCAUCCACCUUAGCUUUUCAUUACUCCAUAUACGGACAUUAGGUUGAUGCUGCUGCAUAUGCAAAUAAUUGGUUUGUUAUCCAUAGUUCUUCUACUUCAGAUUCGAUGCUAGGUGCCUUAGAGCUUAUACUAGAUGAUACAAAGGGGUUACCUAGCUUUCUUUCCAUGGGCAUACAUAUCUUCAUUUAUAUAGCAUAUUUUGUGGCCAAUAAUAUUUUACAGAAUUCUUUGCUGACAGUUUGAAUAAAAAUGUCGUAAGAAUCUAGAUAAAAGAAAGUGGAAUGAAUAUAUAUGUAUAUUCCAUGGGCAGGAUAUCUAACAGGAACCAUUUAAAAUAUGAUGGUCGUAUUCUAUAACUACAAUUAAGGAGUAUUUUAGCACAUGUUGCUUAUAAAAUUCUUAUCUAGUUAUACUUAGAAUUUCUUUUGACAGCUUCUUUUUGUUUAUUUGUUUCUUAAGCACACAAAUCAGUGCAUUCUUGACAACCUCUUUCUCCCAUGCAGUGAACUGGGGAGGCAUCACAUAAAUUACAAAUAUUUUCGUUUUUCCUAGAUUUAUAGAAGAAUAGAAUGUUGCACGUUGCUUCUAUGGUGUAUCACCCAAUGUAUAGCUUCCUUGACUUUAUUUUGUUUUCAGCUAGUGGCAUGGUAUUCUGCCAUGUACCCCUGUCUUUAUUUACAGUUUGCAUGUCCAGUGAAAAGACUAAAUCAUUUACUCUGUUGCUCUUGGUCCAGUGAAAGACCAAAUCCAUGUGUAGUUGUUCUGGCUUUGUGGUGUGCAUCGUCUAGCUGAAAUAAUGAAAUGAUGUGAGAUUAUGUUGAGCUUGCUAGUGUGCUUCUUGUCAAUCCUGCUAUGCCGUUGUCUGCUGAAUUCUGGUUGUACAUCGAUGCAAAUGAACAUGGACACAACUUAUUCUAUACAUUUUAUUAAAAAUUCAAACCGCUGAACAUGAUCACUUCCAUAUCUCUGAAAUUGUGUGCUUUUGGUUUCCAAUGGUAUUUGGUUUAUGUACACUGCAAGCCCCACGAUGCUAAUUGAAAUAUCCUUUAUCAUGUUGCAGAUGCUUAGCAAAUGCUUUUGCUGCUACCUGAUCAUAAUCAUCUAAUUUUUUACUCCUUUCAUUUCUAUAUGAAUGGCUGGAAGAGAGUUAUCCUGCAUGGGCACAUAGACCAGGAUACAUGUUACAUUGUAUCUCAGGAUAUAGCAACAGGAGGUGAGGUUUACAGGAAACACAAAAGAGGGGAGCUAAAGAUGUUCAAGCUGGAAGAUGUUAUCCAAUGAGAUGAAGAAUGAAGGUUUUGAUGUCAAGUAUGAGAAUGAUGCAAGGAUCUGCAUCUUGGUGGAAGGAUGUGAGGAUGGGGCUGUAGUUUCCCACUAGAAGGCAGGCAAAUGAUGUGCCCUGAGACAAAUUGCCGAAAACAAAGCGAGGAGUUUAAUUAGUUACAUUAGUUUAUAGGAAACUUGGAUGGUAUUAGUUCAUAACAGAUGAACUAUUUAUAUGUAAAACUUAACGCAUGUGUGUUGUUUAUAUGUGAA